GUUGCGGUGGCCGAGUGGUUAAGGCGUUGGACUUGAAAUCCAAUGGGAUCUUCCCGCGCAGGUUCGAACCCUGGCCGCAACG
rfam:Nematostella vectensis strain CH2 x CH6 NEMVEscaffold_2756_Cont42955, whole genome shotgun sequence.